rnacentral:lncRNA from 1 species
CCUCCCCCUCUCGCCCUCCCCCCCCCCCAUCCUCCUCCCAGCCGCUGCAUCCCCCCGCUCCCCCCCCCCGCAUCCCUCCAGCCCCCCCGCUCCCAAUCCCGGGCCCCACCCCUGUCCCCCCCCCCUCCUCCCGCAGCCCAAUCACGGCGGGUCGGAUGAAUUCAAACCCCGGCCCCGCAAGCGCCGGCGGCGGUUCCGCUCCGGGAAGCGGCCGGGAACGGGGCCGGUCCGGUCCGGUCCGGAUGGGCUCGGGGAGCCGCGGGGCGGGCGCGGAGCGCAGGAACCCGCUCCAGCGUGAGUGAGGAGCAGCUGCCUUCCCUGGGCGCUCCGGCAGAGAGGCGGCUGCUCCUUCCUUCGAGAUGGCAAGUGAUGGAGCCGGGAUUCCAGCCCAAGAAAGCUGGACCCUGGAGAUCUUCCCUCACUGACGUGGCUGUUCGGACACAGCCUUCUCCUCCUCCUGCUGCAAUAGCAAUGCUAGUGUCCCCAUGCAGCUGCAGUGAGGAGCUCUUGGCUUGGUCAGGAGUGAAUCCCCAGCUUGGCGUAGCAGCGCCAGUGGCUAUGGAGUGACCUGUGCUCCGGGUGCGUGGCUGAAGCGGCUGCCUGGGCACCGAAUGCGCCCGGCCCACGUGCUCCUCGCCUCUGCCAUGAAUGAUGCAUCGACGAUGGAUUAUGAACUGCUGUCCCCCUCCUUGGUUGAGCACCCAGCCGGCUCUGCGGGUAUGGAUGCUGAGCAGAAAACCGUCUUUGCCUUUGUCAUCUUCCUUCUGGUCUUCUUGGUGAUGCUGAUGGUGCGCUGCUUCCGCAUCCUGCUGGACCCCUACAGCCGCAUGCCCGCCUCCUCCUGGACUGACCACAAGGAGGGGUUGGAGAGGGGCCAGUUUGACUACGCCUUGGUGUAGAGGGCAGGGAUGGGGCGAGCCUGGGUGCUCUGUGUGCCUCCCACCCCGGCUGGCCCCGGCCCCGGCCCCCCCUUCCUCUGUGGUGUUGCCCUGGGCCAGCAAGGAUGCUCUGGGCAGGGAGGGGAGGUCAGGCUCUCGCCCGGGGUGGGUUUUCUAGGGGUUUCUCUCUUUUCUAAGCACUUUUCAGUUCUCUUUGCAGUCUGCAGGACUCUUGGAGAGAUAUGUUGGAGGGGGAGAUGUGGCUCUGCAUGGUCCCUGCUGCCCACCGUGGGACAGGGGCAGGAGGUGAUGGGGCAGGGCAUGGCGGGACCUGCCCUUGGCCACAGCCCACAGGGCUCCUGCUCUGGGUGGCUCUGCCUGGUGCCAGGCCAGAGCUUUGACCCCCACCUCCUCCUGCCCCCCCAUGUCACCCUCGUCUGUGUCCUCCGGGGAGUGCUGAUCGUGGUCCAGUGCGUGUGUGUGUGUGUCCCUGUAGCUGAGCUGUGUCUGUCAGGGGGUUUAUAGGCACCAGACCCAAGUGCUGGCUUUGUUCUUCUCUGUGUGGCAGCCCCAAGUGCCCCCCACCCCCAGUCCAUAAGUGAUGGGGAGAUGGAGACCCCCAUGUGCAGCCCCCUUUGGGCAUCCAGCCCUGCAGCCUGCUCCGCUUUACACCGCAGUGACCUGUCCAUGCCCAACUGGUGAAGAUGGUCUGAGCAAGGUGCAGUCAAGCAGCUUCCUGCAGACCUGCCGGGGGGGCCCUGCUGGGAUCCCAGGAGGCAUCCAUGAUCCCAUACAACACUUGGGAGAUGCUUCUCAGCCAGCCCAAGCCUGGCAGCCUCCGACUGUUAUCCCACUACGGCCAGUCCCUGCUACAGAGGGAUUGGGGUGGCCUCCCCAUGGCUGGGGGUUGCUGAAAGGGGCAGAGGGGGGUGACUCUUCCCUGGCCAUCCUGUAUCUGGGUAUCAGAAGGUGUGUGUAAGUAGCUGAGGGGAAAGUAGUGUAAGUAGCUGUCCUCCUGCCGCUCUGCUGAACCAUGCCUAGUGAGUCGGGGUGCUGCAGCUAGCCCAGGGCUAGCCAAAGCCGUGGUGGGUUAUGGUGUGGGCUGGUAAGAAGGUUUAUACUAAGGGAUGUGAGCACAUGGGGGAGAACCUCUCCCUCCACCAUGGAAAUAAAGCUGCACUGUGCUAACCCCA